AUUGAACGCUGGCGGCAGGCCUAACACAUGCAAGUCGAACGGUAACAGGAAGCAGCUUGCUGCUUCGCUGACGAGUGGCGGACGGGUGAGUAAUGUCUGGGAAACUGCCUGAUGGAGGGGGAUAACUACUGGAAACGGUAGCUAAUACCGCAUAACGUCGCAAGACCAAAGAGGGGGACCUUCGGGCCUCUUGCCAUCGGAUGUGCCCAGAUGGGAUUAGCUAGUAGGUGGGGUAACGGCUCACCUAGGCGACGAUCCCUAGCUGGUCUGAAAGGAUGACCAGCCACACUGGAACUGAGACACGGUCCAGACUCCUACGGGAGGCAGCAGUGGGGAAUAUUGCACAAUGGGCGCAAGCCUGAUGCAGCCAUGCCGCGUGUAUGAAGAAGGCCUUCGGGUUGUAAAGUACUUUCAGCGGGGAGGAAGGGAGUAAAGUUAAUACCUUUGCGCAUUGACGUUACCCGCAGAAGAAGCACCGGCUAACUCCGUGCCAGCCGCCGCAGUAAUAC
rnacentral:rRNA from 1 species